rnacentral:rRNA from 1 species
ACUCCUACGGGAGGCAGCAGUGGGGAAUUUUGCGCAAUGGGCGAAAGCCUGACGCAGCAACGCCGCGUGAGUGAUGAAGGCUUUCGGGUCGUAAAGCUCUGUCGAGGGGAAAGAAGUGUAGAGUGGCUAAUAUCCAUUUUACUUGACGGUACCCCUAAAGGAAGCACCGGCUAACUCCGUGCCAGCAGCCGCGGUAAUACGGGGGGUGCAAGCGUUGUUCGGAAUUAUUGGGCGUAAAGAGCGUGUAGGCGGUUUGUUAAGUCUGAUGUGAAAGCCCUGGGCUCAACCCAGGAAGUGCAUUGGAUACUGGCAGACUUGAAUACGGGAGAGGGUAGUGGAAUUCCUGGUGUAGGAGUGAAAUCCGUAGAUAUCAGGAGGAACACCGGUGGCGAAGGCGGCUACCUGGACCGAUAUUGACGCUGAGACGCGAAAGCGUGGGUAGCAAACAGGAUUAGAUACCCUGGUAGUCCACGCCGUAAACGAUGAGAACUAGGUGUUGCGGGUAUUGACCCCUGCAGUGCCGCAGCUAACGCAUUAAGUUCUCCGCCUGGGAAGUACGGUCGCAAGACUAAAACUCAAAUGAAUUGACGG